UAUAUUUUCCCCUUUUCCUUAUAUUUGCCCUAGCCCUUCACAAUGAUCGUUCUCUCUCUCUCUCUCUCUCUCUCUCUCUCGCUCGCAUGCGUUCUCGCUGUCUGUCUCGGUCUCACACUGCUUUUCCCGAUUCUUUCGAACUCGAUCAUUGAAGGUGAUUUAUUGUCUGGAAGGAGCACGGAUUGGCAUACCAUAGGAGACAUCUUUCGCAGCAAAUUUUUUGACAACAUCAUUAACAGAGACAUACCCUGGCCCAAAAUACCGGAUGAAAUGAGAUACGAAGCGUAUGACUUAAUUGACAAGAGGGUCUUCAUGACACUAUUGGAUCGAUAUUCCUUCAUGUUUUCGUUUAUCUUCUCAGCGGCAACAACCAUCCGACAGCUCCGACACCUUGAGAUUCAGCUGGAAUUUGAUGCAUUGAAGCCCUUUAUUCUUCUGUAGUCAUCUUUGAAAACUUUCAGAUAUGGGAAUACUUCUUGGGAAGAAAUUGUCUGGAAAGCAUAUGUGACUUCAAGUAUAUUUUCAUAUCCUUCUAGUAUUGUGGUGGUGCAGUUGGGGGGAAGGGGAGGACAAAAAAGCAGGAUUGAGCAUAUAAUGAAGGAUAUUAAUUUCUGGAUAUUGAUUGUUGGGUUUUAUGUCAUAUAAAGUGAGAUGGAAGGGAUAGGGUGACUUUUUAAGGAUUUUUUUAAUAGCCUUGUGGAGUUGUAAUUUUUUCUUUGUACUUCUAUUUGGGAUAUGUUGAAUUUUCUUUCCUAUAUCGUCCUCCUUAUUUGCUGCUGUUGUUGCUGUUGCAUUGGAGUGAUAUUUAUUCAGGCUAAUUACGCAUGCCUCCUUUAUGGUACUUGACAAUCUAUGAAGCAUAGACACUACUCCUAACCUCACUAAUCUGUGUUCGAUAUGUCUGGUACAUAGACACGUUCGGACACACUCUUAACACACUCCUCAGAGUGUUUGAAUUUUUUGUUUUAUUUUUCUGUUUACACAUGUUGUGGGACAUAUGCUAGGACACGUUGAUGGACACACUGAAAGAGUAGGACAUUCUGGGUCACAACCCUAGACUCUCUCUCUCUCUCUCUCAUAUUUUUUUUGGAUUGACUUAGUCUAAUUUCUCCUCUCUGUUCUUUCUCUCUUUUUUGUGAAGCACACUGUAAAUUAACUUGUUUAUUUAUUUUUUCCCAAACAUAGAAGAGGCUCUAAAGGCUCCUAUGUUUUUGUUAAGUCCACUGCUUUCUCAUAGGUCAUCUGUCUUUUCUCCAUAUCUAUUGUGGAUAUCGUUAGUUUUUUGGCAUUGUUACUUGUAUUGGGCAUUGACAGUUCUUAUUCUCUUGUUUACUAGCCUGCUUGUUAUAAUAAUAAUAAUAAUAAUAAUAAUAAUAAUAAUAAUAAUAAUAAUAAUAAAAUUUAUAGCAAUGUGAUUGAUAUGCAAAUUGUUGUGAAUGCUUGUGGGUAAUGUGAUUGUUAUUAAAUUUUUAUUUGUGUUUUACCCCUAAUUUGAUUGAAAUAAUGUUUUCUUUUUCUUCUAUGGAUUUAUAAUAUAUAUGUAUUUAUACGUGUCCUUGUCCUAAUUUUUAAAAAAAUGUCGUGUCAGAAUCUGAGUGUCAUGUUGUGAUGUCGUGUCUGUGUCCGUAUCUAUAUCCGUAUCCGUGUUUCAUAGCUAACAAUUAGAAGACCUAACUUGAGGUUUUUGAAAUUACACUUCCUUGCCUUACUUUACUAGAUAAUAUAACACCCCUUCCCUCUAUUAUGUUGUCAUUGGACAACUAACAGAAAAUUAUGAUGUUGGCAUUUUUAGUGUUUAAAUACCAAAACUACCUUUGCAAGCAUAACUAAAUACCUCUCUACCAACACACAAUGAAACACCUCCAUCUCUUUGCCCUCUUUAUUCUUUCCACUACCAUAGCCACAUAACCACCACCACCACCACCACCACCACCACCAUAGCCUCAUGACAGGACCCACAACCACCAUAGAGAGAGAAUGAUGGAAGAGACGAAACUCACGACAGAUAGACUGGUGAAGAAUAGCGCUCCCCCUCCUUGAAUUAGGAUUGGAUAUUCAAACUCGGUUUUUGAUUUGGGGAUUUCAAAACAAAAACAAAAACAAAAAAAUGGGUUUUUAUUGUGAUUUCAAUUGAAAAAUUAGUGUUUUGAUUGAGAGAACCUAAAAAAUUGACAAAAUAUUAGUUUUAGGUUGUGGAAUUGGGUUUUGUCUUAAAUGUGAGUUGGGAAAAGUUUGGAAUUUGAUUCUCUCUGAAUCUGAGUUGGAAUUAAUUGAAAUAAAUUGGGUUAUUUAAUGGGUUGAACAAAUGUAUCUCUUUGCCCUCUUUAUUCUCUCCACUACCAUAGCCACAUAACCACCACCACCACCACCACCACCAUAGCCUCAUGACAACUCAAUGACGAUGUAAGAUGCUGAUCAAGGAAUGAGGCUCAAUGUUUCUCACUGAUCGACCGUGUUUUUCAUUCACUACAAUUUUUGUUAUAUUAUGACCUCGUCAAAGCUCUUGGGUUUUCAUUUGUUCUUUGUUCUUUGUAGAUUAUCGUCUCCCCUAAAAAGGCAUUAUAUUUGAUAGAGGGUGAAAUUGAAAGCUAGUUUUAUACAUUAUUUUUUUUGUUUGUUUGUUUGUUUGCUAUUGUCAACUUCUUGUUGAUGCCAAGGGGUGUAAAAUAUGUGGUGUUGGGGCCAAGGGUGUUCAAUGAAAUGCUUGGUAGGAGUAUGGUUUGUUAUUGAUUUUAAUUAUUGGGUUUGUAAAGUCUACCAAUGAAAUGCCUGUGCUUGUCUACAUUUGGUUUUUUAUUGUUGCCUAGGUCUUGGCUUUUUAAUUACUUGAUUUGUAAAUGCCUAGUAGGAGUAUGUUUGCAACAUGUUAUUCAACAAAGCUGAUGGGGUUGGCUUAUGGUGACACCCACCUUGUUGCCAUUGGAUCAACACUCUUGGCAAUGGAGAUUCAUUUAGAGAUUCAUUUAGCUCAAACAUGGUGGCAUGUGAGAGGGGAAUAUACUUGUUUGCAGAAGUUUUGACAAGGGAGAACAGAGUGAUGGGAGUUUUGUGCGCUAAUAAGAGGGAUAUUGGUCUUUGGUUUGCUUCACUUGAUUGGAUCUUGUAGGCCUUGCCAAGGGAGGGAGUUGAAGGAUGGAAGGGAUUUGUUUAUGCCUUCGGUGGAUUUGUGCAAAGAUGGUGCUUGGAGUAAGAUUAGGAACUUGAAUGAGUUUGAUGAUGGGAAGUCUCUUACAGAUCUUUUAUGGUGGAUCCAUAGUAGACGU